UACGGAGGAUCCGAGCGUUAUCCGGAUUUAUUGGGUUUAAAGGGUGCGUAGGCGGCCUUGUAAGUCAGGGGUGAAAGACGGUAGCUUAACUAUCGCAGUGCCCUUGAUACUGCAGGGCUUGAAUGUACUAGAGGUAGGCGGAAUGUGACAAGUAGCGGUGAAAUGCAUAGAUAUCUCACAGAACACCAAUUGCGAAGGCAGCUUACUAUGGUAUGAUUGACGCUGAGGCACGAAAGCGUGGGGAUCAAACAGG
rnacentral:rRNA from 1 species